ensembl:lncRNA
CCUCCUUUCCUUUCUUUCUUUCCUCCUUUCUUUCCUCUCAUCCUUUCUAAUCUCCUCACAUAUCUUGUAUUAACUUGUAUUUAGUUCUCAUUUCAUAGGCAUUUCAGUGAACCUUCUGCUCCCUUUGCCUUUCCUUCCUCUACUCCUCCAGGCCGGAUAUAUGGCAGUAUUCCUUCCCCCAAAGGCUCUAGCUCCAUGAAGAAGCUCAGCUCUGCCAAACACAGAGAGAGCAGUGUAAGCCAGGAGAGGCCGAAGAAGAUGGAUGCUUUUCCUCUUCAUCUCAAACUUGAAAACUCUGGAGAUGUUUUUUACUCAAACCCGGAAGGUUUACCCAGCGUGGACAAUUUCAGUAAAAAUCAUUUACUUCAGAGACAGUGACUCUAUCACUCCCUGGGCAGCCUGUGCCAGCGCCUCACCACUCUUCCUGAGAAGAAAUGUUUCCUAAUAUCCACUCUUCAUCCACAGUCUCAAGAUCGCCGUCACUACAUUCUGCAAAACUUCAAGGACAAUUCUACUACAAUUACUACUAAGUCUCACGCUGCGCACCCUUUCACUACCCCACUUCCUUGUGGAAGAUUGUUUUUUUCAUGCACUUAGUCCUUCACUUUGUAGAUACCCAACUGCAUGGGGAGCUUCAAGGUCUAUAAAUUAUGAAGCCUAAUCUAACCUGCAAAUGCUCUGGUAAAUAGGGUGUUUACAGUAGGCACUGCAAUACAUCGAAUGUAUCUCUGUAGGCUUCUGAGGAGCAGCUGGAGGCCAAUAAAAUAGUCUGGAUUUUGGGGGGGAAUGUAGAAGUAUACCUAUAAAUAAUACUUUCCAUCUAUGCCAAAAACCGAAACACAAGCAUCUAACUCCGCAGCAAAUAAGACAGCUCACUUUAUAGCAAAGUAGAUUCACACCCUGUUGAAUAUUAGAUAUAUGCUAACUGACAGACCUUCUCUGGAAGUUCAGUUGCGUCCCACUUGGUGAUCAACUGCACCUCUUCAAGCAGAACAUAAAACGUUAUUUGUUUAUUUUUGCAAAAGAUACAGAACACAAACCUAUUCUCACAGUGGUGCUUUAAUUACCCCAAAAGGCUGACAAUAAAUUUACAUUUUAAUUAAGAGUAAUGAAUUAUGCACGAUUGCUUAGCACUUUCUACAUAGUUAGCAGACAAGCAUAGAGAAAAAUACAGUAUGGUUUGCAGGAAUUAAUCCUGACAAAAGGAGGAGAAGGUCAUUUUGCUUGCAGUAACUGACCACUUAGGAAAAAAGACUUUCCAGAUAUCAGACUGUUAAAAACAUCCUACUGAAGCUCAGCUACAAGCUCCGUAUUGUACUGUGGUCUCUGAGAACUGAGUCCAUCUUCUCUCUAUCAUGACAACACAACACUUGAAGAUCAUUUCACUAGAAAUGUAGCCCUUCUGAACACUUUGGGACUGUGUAUGUAGGAAGAGUGAUGGCAAAACAUUUUCCAUCCUCAGCAGGGACAUGGAAACACCAGCCUAACUGUUGAUGUUGCAGACACCCAGGAUUUUGCUGUGUUUUGUCAGCUUAUCUGUCGUAAGUGUUGCUCAUCCCCACAUAAAACCAUAGCAUCCAUUCGACGUGAAAGAAAAGGGAGGAUGUUAACUCUUCUGGAUGCAUAAAACAUCAUGUAAAUUUGACUACAUGCAAACAUGAAUCCUAAAAACAAAAGCAAUAGAGGACCAGCUAGAUGUAGAGGUCUAUGCAAUAGACAUACUGCAUGCUUGACAUGCAAUAGAGGACAUGCAAAGAACACUUGAACUGCGACUUCUGAGACUUUUUACAUCACAGGUUCUUAGGAAUAGGCAUUAGAGCACCAACAUUAUUUGCAAUUUCUCUACCUGUUUUGCCUCUUAAAGUUUUGACCUUCUAAACAGUUCAUGUUUAAAAAAAAAAAAAAAGUAAUAAAAAUGUGAAAAGCAGGGAAAAAAAUGAUCCACCAAGGAAAAAAAAAACAGAACAUCGAAUUGGCACUAUCACGUUCUUUAUGUCAAACUCCAAUUUGACCAAGUUGCCUGACUUCCAUAUUUUAGCUGCUUGUUCUGGCCUCAUAACAGUAAUUGCCUUCUUCAACUGCAGUACGGUCUGUGCUCCAGCCCUUCUCUGCUCCUUGCUGGAGGCACCAACCUUCCAUUCUUUUGUCUGAGGGAAAGUGCUACCUUGGAAAGUGGAACUCACAGUGAGCAGCCCCUUUGAACUUUGCAUAGGUGAAAAUCUGAGUUUUGUGGCAGCCAGAAAGGCCAGUGGGGAGGUAGCAAGGAAUGAAUCCACAGAGUUGAGUUAAAGCCCAUAAUUCUGCAAGGGAUGGCACUGUGUGAAGUGCAAUUCCACCUAACCACCAUGGAUCCAGGGGCCCACAGAUCCCGACAGCCUUCCACCAGUGCAAGGGACAAAUUGUUAAAGUUAGCAGAAGCCUUGCAGAGAACUAUUUCUGAGCUGAAUGGCAACUGGGUCCAAGAGUUGCUGUACAAGUCUCCUUGUUCCUGCUGGAGCUUUCCCCUUAACCUUAGCUGAAAACGCUACCCUAACUUGUUGCACGUAGAGAUGCCAAAAAGGUAGCUGUACUUGUUAUUCAUUUCCUCCCAAGACUGGGAAAAGGCACUGAGCACAGAAAUGUUAUUCACUGAGAGUCACUGACUGAGGUAUUCCCUGUCUGGGCAGACCCUGAACCGGAUCAGUCUUUUCUCAGACAAUGUCUCACACCACAGAGAAAGGGGCAAAUCCCUCAUAUUCAGUAGUCACGUCAUAAGUAGUCUACAGAACAUCCUCCCAAACUGCUCACUUAAAGGUACGUUUUUGACACUUUUUAUGGAAUAAUUCCAUUUCUGAAAUAUGUGUCUCUCUCCCAAGCACAUUUCUGUCUUCCUAAUCGCUUACCCAUAUAAUGCUUACCACUCCUUCUCUUGUUUCCAGAUGCUAAAGCACCCUGAAGGGCAUCUGCAAACACUUGCUUAAUGUUAUUGUUCCAUUUAAGUGAUCACUCAUGUUGCCAAGGGGAUAUCAUCCCUUCUCCAAGGAGAAGAAAGCAUAUUAUAACAUUCUCUCUGUGCAGACGCAAAUCUCACGGGGAAAAUAUCCAAGAACGUCCAAGCUUAAAUUCUGAUCUUCUUGUACAAUCCCAGGCAAUAAACAGAAAUAACCUAUGGCAUUUUGCAAACUGCAGUCAGUGAACUCUGUUUUUGUCACCUACCAGUGUGUCUUCUGCUCCCCAGCAGGCUUUUUUGGGCUGCAGAUUCUCCAAUAUUCAAAAAUCUCUGUUUUAUACACAGAAUGAGACAUCAGGACUGCACCUACAGCAACAAAGUAUAGUGGCUUUUUUGUUUGCCCAGAGCAAAUCAUAGGAAUAUUUGCCAGAACCAAAAUUAACUUAUCAGAGAUUUAAUCAUAAUAAACACAUCCUACAAGUCUCUCACCAGUACCCAGGAGGUACCUUUGUUACACGAGAUUAUAGCCGUAGUUAAGAAUGGAUUUGGGGCACCUUGUUGAUGAAUGCAUAAGAUCACCAGAAAGCAGAGGGCACCAUUUUCAGUCUUUUUUCGCCCUGCUUUUACAGAAAUGAGAGAUUUGAUAGGUUUGUUUUUGGUCUGUCAUUCCAUUGUUGCUGAUAGGUGUAAUUUCUGUUACCCAAAGGUGCCUAAAAGCACAUAAAUGAAUAGGCUGCUGCAGUACAGCAGUACUGAAAGUAUUUUACAAUAGGUAAAAUAUAUAUAUAUGAAAGCUGAAAUUGAAUGUUACCAAUACCUUCAUCUUUAAUACAGUGAACUCUAAAGGAGGCGAGCACAGCACGAUGGGACUGCACCAGGAACUCUGAAUUCUCCCUGCACAAAGGUACAGAGCAGAAAGCAGCCUGCAUCUUUUCAGACAAGUUGUUCUCAGCAAGCUGAAAGGUAGAAGAGGCCUAGCUUCUGGACAGUGCUGCUACCUUAUGGCACAUUUAAAGUUAGAGUCAUAUGUGAUAGUAGUUAUGCCCUACUGGAAAAAAAAUCUUUUAUUUUGUUAUGUUGCAAAUAUACAGAACAUCCUUUGUUAACAUCUCUGCCCUAAAGCUCUAACAAAGAACAGCAAAGUGGUGUGAAUACAUCAUCAUUCAAUGCAUCAGUACAAAAGGCUUCAGUGAACUUUGUUGUUCACUAUCACACGCCAGCUCAUUUUAGUAGUUGUGUUUGGAGGUAUUUUUUUACAAAACUUAUAGCAAUCACCUUGUUAAAUUAAAAGGCUACAAGAGACUACCCAUUAAUGUCACACAGGCUGCUGAACAGUCACCAUUACAGAUUGAGGCUGUUGCUACACCUUAUCUAAAGUCAAAUUUGUGACCUUGAAUCAUGGCAGUAUGAUCUCAUUACCAGCCCCUGUAAAGCAGCCAAUCCCCUAGGUAGGACUCUUUUUGUUUUCCUCCUUGAAUUUCCCCUUUUAGUGUGCUAUUCUGGUGACAUUGAAGGGUAACUUUAACCGGUUCAGCCACCAGAAGCUACACCUAAUGUUCCCGAGUUACUGCCUUUUGAAUGGGAGCUUUCACUGAGGCUGGCUGUGAAAAAGCACCUGGAAAGAUACCUGCUGCAGCCUUUGAUGUUGGAGGUGGUGGGAGGUUUCAACAUCUCUUGGCUUCUCUGCAGACCUCCAGGUGAUAAGGUAAUUUUUGAUCUCCGUCAGUCUGCUGGGCUGUUGCCAUGAAGAAAGCAAAAGAACACCCACUUUCAGCUGCUGGUGUUUACCGUUGUUUGCUCUUUAGCUGAACUCUCCAGCACCAGAGGGGGAUAUUUGACUCACACGAGCAUGAUGUUGGGUUUCACACAGCACGGUCCAUUUGGUUGCUGUAGCUUUAUUUGAAGCAGGUCAUAAAGAAGAAUUAAGCUCUUUCCUUCACAGUCAUGCAAAAGCCCUCCAGUUCAGGCAGGCUUAGCUAAAGGGAGAAGAGAAUGUCUGUCUUCUGAGCAAUGGUAAGUGUGGAGGUAGCCUAUAAGUGUCCCAGUAGCACAGCACUGCUCUAAUGACUCUAGCCCACAACCAUUACAAUAGUCUCAAUUCCAAAAUCCCUAUUAUGAUGCACAGGUAAGCUAGUUUUUCAGGUUUAAAAAAAAAAAUACACGUUUUUCCCUCACCUUCACAAACCCAUUCACACGCUCUUCAGUUCUGGCAAACCUCACACUUUCUGGUUCACUGAGAGCCCAGCUGUACCAACGGAGUGAACUGAAGAAGGCAGGCCAAGAUGUAGACUUGGUGUAGGACUCACAGGUUUGUUUGCAUCCAACGCCAGGUGGGUAUUGAGCCAAACUGCAGGUUUUGCCCCAUGUUGGCACAGUGCUGCCUGCAGAGUCACACAGCUUCUGGGCUAGAAGUGCCUUGCACCUGAGUGAUGUGGUGUGGGUGCAAUUAAUUUGGGUCUGCCCUCACCUGCCCAUUGAGACACAUCCUAAGGAACCUAAAGAAACCAGAAGAUGAAUGCAUCACAGUUCUGUGACCAUGACCAGGGAAUGAGUAUAAAUAUUAGACAAAUAAAUAGUAACAAUCUGGAAGAAGACACUUUAUAAUGGAACCAGGCAAAAAAAAGGUAACAAGGAUGAAAGGCAUUUCAAACUUUGGGCUCAGUAAGAGCAGGUACUCAAUGGAAAGACUGUGGCCAGAGAAGCUGAAUAACUGGAGGACAUACUUCCAGCUAGAAGAAAACUCUCAACUAAGAGAAUAAGAAGAAGCAAUUCUGUGACAUUUGGCUU